rnacentral:rRNA from 1 species
GAUGAACGCUGGCGGCGUGCCUAAUACAUGCAAGUCGAGCGAACAGACGAGGAGCUUGCUCCUCUGACGUUAGCGGCGGACGGGUGAGUAACACGUGGAUAACCUACCUAUAAGACGGGGAUAACUUCGGGAAACCGGAGCUAGUACCGGAUAAUAUAUUGAACCGCAUGGUUCAAUAGUGAAAGACGGUUUUGCUGUCACUUAUAGAUGGAUCCGCGCCGCAUUAGCUAGUUGGUAAGGUAACGGCUUACCAAGGCAACGAUGCGUAGCCGACCUGAGAGGGUGAUCGGCCACACUGGAACUGAGACACGGUCCAGACUCCUACGGGAGGCAGCAGUAGGGAAUCUUCCGCAAUGGGCGAAAGCCUGACGGAGCAGCGCCGCGUGAGUGAUGAAGGUCUUCGGAUCGUAAAACUCUGUUAUUAGGGAAGAACAAAUGUGUAAGUAACUAUGCACGUCUUGACGGUACCUAAUCAGAAAGCCACGGCUAACUACGUG